rnacentral:rRNA from 1 species
GUCCACGCCGUAAACGUUGGGCACUAGGUGUGGGCUCCAACCAACGGAGUCCGUGCCGUCGCUAACGCAUUAAGUGCCCCGCCUGGGGAGUACGGCCGCAAGGCUAAAACUCAAAGGAAUUGACGGGCCCCGCACAAGCAGCGGAGCGUGUUGCUUAAUUCGAUGCGACGCGAAGAACCUUACCUGGGUUUGACAUGCAGGGAAAAGCCGUAGAGAUACGGUGUCCUUCGGGGCCUUGCACAGGUGGUGCAUGGCUGUCGU